rnacentral:rRNA from 1 species
UGGGGAAUAUUGGACAAUGGGCGCAAGCCUGAUCCAGCCAUGCCGCGUGAGUGACGAAGGCCUUAGGGUUGUAAAGCUCUUUUGGCGGGGAAGAUAAUGACGGUACCCGCAGAAUAAGCUCCGGCUAACUUCGUGCCAGCAGCCGCGGUAAUGCGAAGGGAGCUAGCGUUGUUCGGAAUCACUGGGCGUAAAGCGCACGUAGGCGGACUUUCAAGUCAGGGGUGAAAUCCCGGGGCUCAACCUCGGAACUGCCUUUGAUACUGUUGGUCUCGAGUCCGGAAGAGGUGAGUUGAAUUCCUAGUGUAGAGGUGAAAUUCGUAGAUAUUAGGAAGAACACCGGUGGCGAAGGCGGCUCACUGGUCCGGUACUGACGCUGAGGUGCGAAAGCGUGGGGAGCAAACA